rnacentral:rRNA from 1 species
CCUACGGGAGGCUGCAGUGGGGAAUAUUGGGCAAUGGGCGCAAGCCUGACCCAGCAACGCCGCGUGAAGGAAGAAGGCUUUCGGGUUGUAAACUUCUUUUGUCAGGGAAGAGUAGAAGACGGUACCUGACGAAUAAGCCACGGCUAACUACGUGCCAGCAGCCGCGGUAAUACGUAGGUGGCAAGCGUUGUCCGGAUUUACUGGGAGUAAAGGGCGUGUAGCCGGGUUGACAAGGCAAUUGUGAAAUCCUGCGGCUUAACCGCAGAACUGCAUUUGAAACUGUUGAUCUUGAGUACUGGAAAGGCAGAAGGAAUUCCUAGUGUAGCGGUGAAAUGGGUAGAUAUUAGGAGGAACACCAGUGGCGAAGGCGGUCUGCUGGACAGCAACUGACGGUGAGGCGCGAAAGCGUGGGGAGCAAACAGGAUUAGAUACCCCAGUAGUC